CAACCCUCAAGCUCAGCUUGGUAUUGGGCCCCGCCGGUGACGGCGGGCCUUAAAGUUAGUGGCGGUGCCCUGAAGGCCCUGAACGUAGUACAUCUCUCGUUACGGGUGCCCACGGGCGGCUUGCCAAACAACCCCUAAUUUUUCUAU
rnacentral:misc_RNA from 1 species